rnacentral:lncRNA from 1 species
AUCAAAUCUUAUGCUAUCCCCAAACGCCUCGUAAACCUCGUCCGUCUCCUUAAUACCCAAACUAUCCAAAUCCCACAAUCUAUGCACCGCAUCAUCCAAAGUAACGUUCCCAACAUGUGCUAUACCACCCAUGCUUGUUGAAGCAACAAAACUCACCAAUGUCCCAUCAUUGUCAUCCCCACGUUUCCCCUUCAACGGUCCAGACAACACAAACCCUAAUUCGGUCUCUAACGCUACGGGUUCAUCGGGCUCCCCCCCUUACUAUACGACCGCGCUGGAAAUUCCACAAAUUAUCCGAACCUAUAAGCAAAUCUAUCUCUAACUCAUGCGCGCUUUUGUUAACUUCGUUAACCUUCAUUCAAUCGUGACAACCAGUAAAUUUCACACAACUUUAUUUCAGAUACGUACUACGACAAUGACUAUAACAACUACCUACAAUCUACAUACACGGUUAUAUAUAUAAUACAUUUUAAAGGAAGAAAUAUCUAACUGAUGACGUUAAAGGAAGAACAUACCAAGCGUUCAUACGCCUACGGCAAGAACAUUCUUUUCUCAUUUUAACCUAAUUUGGACCUACAGGAACUUAAUUUGCAUUUAUUGCGUUCGAAAGAAGAACAUGUCAACAUUUAAUGCGUAAGCUUGUUACAAAUUUGCCCUUGACUGAUAAUGAUAUAUAACUUCUACAGUAUAUUGUUGCAAUAUAUAUCUAUACUUAUGAACUUAACAAAUUGCGCAACAUAUAUCUCUCGUGAAUCAGUUAACUUGAAUAUUCUGCACUGAAUACGUAGUUGUAAAAAAUAUCGUUCUAUUAAGGUUCAACACUUUUAGACUUAGUUUGGUUGUUGAAUGAAUCUAUAGACUUGCUAUCUAUUUUGAGCUUAACCACCGUUUAAGCUAAACGGGCUUGAUACAACCGGCCCCAGACAUUUAACACCAGGAACAUAAAAUAAUCUCUGCCUAUGUAGUGAUCUAUCAUAGCUCACAUACCAGUAAAAUAAUAGGCAUGAGAAAUAUAAAUAACUAAUCUGAUACAAAUGCCAAUGGCAAUGUAUAUUUCAUAUGAAACUAAACUGGAAUCUGAAUGUCCUAUAUAUGCAUAAACUCACUGUAUACUUACAGAGUUUGUCAGUUAACCGAGUUAAGUCCGAGUCAAAUCCGAGCCCGAGUCAACUUAGUACCCUAACCACACUCCUUAAACCCUACCUCUAACCCCAUUUGAUUAUGAAUUUUAUUCAAUUUUGAAGUUUGUCGGUUAACUGAGUUAAAUCCGAGCCCAGUCAAUUAUGUCUGAGUCACUGUUAAGUGGUCUUUGUAGUUCAAUGACUUACUACCCUAACCUUAUUCCUUAACCCUAUUCGAUUAUAAAUUUUUUCAAUUUUGUCUUUUUUUAACGUGACUCGACAGACGUUUGACUUGGGCUCUGAAUUGACUCGGAUUUGACUUGGUAAAUAGAUUUACUCUAUACUCAAAGCCGGCAACAAUAUUCAGAUUGAUCAGUCAUGGGUGACCAUGUGAUCUUCAAGAUCUCUGGGAACAUCAAACACGACAUCGCAAACACAACAAACAUAUCCAACACCAGUUGGUUCUUUUGAUUCCAGUUCUUGACAUAAAGCACAUUGAUAGUUUCCAGCAUUACCAUGUUGCCUUGCCAAAUGUUGAACCAAUAUCAUGAAACCAGACGAUUGUUUAUUACAUUUGUUACAAACAUACUUUCCAGUGUUUCUAUCCUCAACAAAAUGUUCUUGUAAUUCUUGCGGUCGAAUAAUCUCUCUGCUGCAAGUGUGACACAACAAAUGCCCCUUCUUGUGGGAAUUAAGACUACUUGAUUGGGAAAAUUGUUUCUUACAAACAUCACAUUCAUAAGGUUUGUUUCCUGUGUGUGUUCUUUUGUGUUUAGUUAGAUUUCCUGAUUGUCUAAAUUUCUUUUUACAAACAUCACAUUCAUAAGGUUUGUCCCCAGUAUGUGUUCUUUUGUGUAUAGUUAAACUACCUGAUUGUAUAAAUCUCUUCUUACAAACAUCACAUUCAUAAGGCAUGUCCCCAGUGUGUCUUUUUUUAUGGUACACCAGGCUGUUCGAAUAUGUAAAUUUCUUCUUACAAACAUCACAUUCAUAAGGCUUGUCUCCAGUGUGUGUUCCCUUAUGUUUUACCAAAGCAUCUGAUGUUUUAAAUUUCUUCUUACAAACAUCACAUUCACAAGGUUCAUGUUCAGUGUGUGUUCUUUUAUGUCUAACCAAAUGAUCUGAUCUUUUAAAUUUCCUCUUACAAAGAUCACAUUCAUAAGGCUUGUCUCCAGUGUGUGUUCUUAUGUGUGUAGUUAGAUUACCUGAUUGGCUAAAUCUCUUCUUGCAAACAUCACAUUCAUAAGGUUUGUCCCCAGUAUGUGUUCUUUUGUGUAUAGUUAAACUACCUGAUUGUAUAAAUCUCUUCUUACAAACAUCACAUUCAUAAGGCAUGUCCCCAGUGUGUCUUUUUUUAUGGUACACCAGGCUGUUCGAAUAUGUAAAUUUCUUCUUACAAACAUCACAUUCAUAAGGCUUGUCUCCAGUGUGUGUUCCCUUAUGUUUUACCAAAGCAUCUGAUGUUUUAAAUUUCUUCUUACAAACAUCACAUUCACAAGGUUCAUGUUCAGUGUGUGUUCUUUUAUGUCUAACCAAAUGAUCUGAUCUUUUAAAUUUCCUCUUACAAAGAUCACAUUCAUAAGGCUUGUCUCCAGUGUGUGUUCUUAUGUGUGUAGUUAGAUUACCUGAUUGGCUAAAUCUCUUCUUGCAAACAUCACAUUCAUAAGGUUUGUCCCCAGCAUGUGUUCUUUUGUGUACAGUUAAACUACCUGAUUGUAUAAAUCUCUUCUUACAAACAUCACAUUCAUAAGGCUUGUCUCCAGUGUGUCCUUUUUUAUGGUACACCAGGCUGUUCGAAUAUGUAAAUUUCAUCUUACAAACAUCACAUUCAUAAGGCAUGCCUCCAGUGUGUCUUUUUUUAUGGUACACCAGGCUGUUCGAAUAUGUAAAUUUCUUCUUACAAACAUCACAUUCAUAAGGCUUGUCUCCAGUAUGUGUUCCCUUAUGCUUUACCAAAGCAUCUGAUGUUUUAAACUUCUUCUUACAAACAUCACAUUCAUAAGGUUUGUCUCCAGUGUGUAUUCGUUUGUGCGUUGCUAAAUUACCAGAUUGUGCAAAUUUCUUCUUACAAACAUCGCAUUCAUAAGGCUUGUCUUCAGUGUGUGUUCGUUUAUGUACAGCUAAAUAAUCUGAUCUGUUAAAUCUCUUCUCACAAACAUCACAUUCAAAAGGUUUCUUUUCAUAAUUUUGUGUUCCUCUUUGGUUCACCGAGCUGCCUGAUGUUAAAAAUCUCUGCUCACAAUGAUCAGACAUUAUUAUCAAAACUAUAUAUAGAAAUCGCGUAAACGUUCUUUAAUAUAUCGUCAACAGAGUGACAAAUUUUACAGUGAAGAAAUCUGGUUAGUUCAGACCCAAAAUCGAUGAAAUUAUAAUA